AAAAAAAUGAAAGAGUAAUUUUAGGGUUACAUGUUUGUGACGCAUCAGCUUCCUUUGAGAAGCUUCCUUCUCUUCACAAAACGCACCGAACGGCGCCGGUGGACUUCUCCGACGAGAUCCUCCGUCGCGCUACCGUCUCAACCUCACGCUCUCUCGCAACGCGUUAUUCUCAGUUCUCUCCGAUCGUGUUCUCGUAUCUCUCUCACAUCUCAGGAACUCGGUGACGUUCCCUCAUUCUCCGACGAGGAACUACAACACCGCUGCGAUAACCACAGCACCGAUUGCUCUCCUCUCGGUUCUCUCUCGUCAACUCAAACCUCUCUCGAUUCAAGUUCUCUUCCUCAAUCUCUCGCUCUCGGUUCUCUAUUUUUCAUUUCGGAUUGCGUGGAACUAAUUGUGAUGUUGAUCGAUUUCUGAAGCAAGUUCAAGAAUUGUUUGCAAUUGUGACGAUGUGGAUCGAAGAAUUGCGUGCAGUUGUAGAAUCGGAUCGUUGCAGGCUCGUGAUGAUUCGAUGAUGAUUAGGUGCGAUGUUGAACGCGCUUUGGUUCGCCGCAAGGUUGCGUUUAAGAGCUACAAUGAUCUUCGAAGUCAGGCUAUUGAAUCGGUGAUUAUAGAUAUGAUGAAGAUUGAACUGCGAUUCCGAGAGAGGUGAAGAUGAAGACGCAACGAAGAUGAAGGUGAAUUCUCAGAUUGUGUUUUCAGUUACGAUUCUUUUUCUCUUUUGCUUUUUUCCCAUUUUCUGAUUCUUUUCCCGGUUGGUGAAUAUGAAUGAUGAUGAAGAAGUCAUAGUGAUUGAUUCUCCGUGAAUUUGUGAAGAUUAAAGAUGAUGAAGAUUGGAGAAGAGAGGAUGAGAGCGAUUGAAGGUUCAAGAUCGGAGAUGGAGGUUCGUUGAGGGAUCCAUGAAGAGAGGUCAAGAGCCUGGUUUUAUUGCAGGUAACAGCUUGGAUUGGUUAACUAGAACAUGUCCGGUUCAAUUUUAUUCACUGAGGAGUAUGUGGUUUGAACCGAUUUUUGGCAUGGAUUAAAUGGUGAAGCGAUGUGAUGAUCGUGGACCUUGGAUGUAUUUUGUGCGGUAGUGAUACUAGUUUGUGCAGCGAGCUCCUUGAGGUUAUAGGACUUUAUCACGGGAGCAUCUUUGACAUAUCAUAAAGAGACUUGGAAAUCAGAAGACUUAAGUAUAGAGAAAGUGAAGAUGAACUUAGGCCCUCCCUUUUUGUAAUUCUUUUGUAGUUGAAUUUUGGAAUAUAUGGACAUUUUUGAGAAUUUUUAUAAUUUUACUUUUGUAAUGGAUAACUUUGGUAUUUUGUAAUGAUUUUUGAACUUUGGAUGAAUAAUGAUGUAUAAAUUUUGAAAGAA